rnacentral:snRNA from 1 species
AGAUGUAAGAGCUAUCUGGCUGUGACAUCUGUCACCCCAUUGAUUACCAGGGUUGAUUCAGUUAAUCUGGCUGGCUAGGCGGGUGUCCUCUUCCUCCUUCACUGCUCUACAUGCAUCUCUCUAGAAGCUGUGUGCUCCAUGGAAGAGGAUGGUCUUCCCAGAAUAGAGAUGGAACUGGUCUUCUACUGAAGGUAUACAAAUAGUUGUGUUCCCCUGCUAGAACCUCCAAACAAGCUCUCAAGGUCCAAUAUUAUAUCUGUAAAAAAUUAAUUAAAAAAUAAUAGUCACAGCCAUCUGGCAAAAAGAAAGAU